GGUCCCGUCGUUUAAUGGUAGGACUGACGGUUGUCGACCGUCGAGCAGGGGUUCGACUCCCCUCGGGACCGC
rnacentral:tRNA from 1 species